rnacentral:rRNA from 1 species
UUAGAGUUUGAUCCUGGCUCAGAUUGAACGCUGGCGGCAGGCCUAACACAUGCAAGUCGAGCGGUAGAGAGAAGCUUGCUUCUCUUGAGAGCGGCGGACGGGUGAGUAAUGCCUAGGAAUCUGCCUGGUAGUGGGGGAUAACGUUCGGAAACGGACGCUAAUACCGCAUACGUCCUACGGGAGAAAGCAGGGGACCUUCGGGCCUUGCGCUAUCAGAUGAGCCUAGGUCGGAUUAGCUAGUUGGUGAGGUAAUGGCUCACCAAGGCGACGAUCCGUAACUGGUCUGAGAGGAUGAUCAGUCACACUGGAACUGAGACACGGUCCAGACUCCUACGGGAGGCAGCAGUGGGGAAUAUUGGACAAUGGGCGAAAGCCUGAUCCAGCCAUGCCGCGUGUGUGAAGAAGGUCUUCGGAUUGUAAAGCACUUUAAGUUGGGAGGAAGGGCAGUUACCUAAUACGUGAUUGUUUUGACGUUACCGACAGAAUAAGCACCGGCUAACUCUGUGCCAGCAGCCGCGGUAAUACAGAGGGUGCAAGCGUUAAUCGGAAUUACUGGGCGUAAAGCGCGCGUAGGUGGUUAGUUAAGUUGGAUGUGAAAUCCCCGGGCUCAACCUGGGAACUGCAUUCAAAACUGACUGACUAGAGUAUGGUAGAGGGUGGUGGAAUUUCCUGUGUAGCGGUGAAAUGCGUAGAUAUAGGAAGGAACACCAGUGGCGAAGGCGACCACCUGGACUGAUACUGACACUGAGGUGCGAAAGCGUGGGAGCAACAG